rnacentral:rRNA from 1 species
CCUACGGGCGGCUGCAGUGGGGAAUCUUGCGCAAUGGGCGAAAGCCUGACGCAGCCAUGCCGCGUGAAUGAUGAAGGUCUUAGGAUUGUAAAAUUCUUUCACCGGGGACGAUAAUGACGGUACCCGGAGAAGAAGCCCCGGCUAACUUCGUGCCAGCAGCCGCGGUAAUACGAAGGGGGCUAGCGUUGCUCGGAAUUACUGGGCGUAAAGGGAGCGUAGGCGGACAUUUAAGUCAGGGGUGAAAUCCCGGGGCUCAACCUCGGAACUGCCUUUGAUACUGGGUGUCUUGAGUGUGAUAGAGGUAUGUGGAACUCCGAGUGUAGAGGUGAAAUUCGUAGAUAUUCGGAAGAACACCAGUGGCGAAGGCGACAUACUGGAUCAUUACUGACGCUGAGGCUCGAAAGCGUGGGGAGCAAACAGGAUUAGAUACCCCAGUAGUC